rnacentral:rRNA from 1 species
GAUCAUGGCUCAGGAUGAACGCUAGCUACAGGCUUAACACAUGCAAGUCGAGGGGCAGCAUGGUCUUAGCUUGUCUAAGGCCGAUGGCGACCGGCGCACGGGUGAGUAACACGUAUCCAACCUGCCGUCGUACUCUUGGACAGCCUUCUGAAAGGAAGAUUAAUACAAGAUGGCAUCAUGAGUCCGCAUGUUCACAUGAUUAAAGGUAUUCCGGUAGACGAUGGGGA